CCUCUGGAGUAUCACACCAACGAAAGUAGUUUCUUGAAAAAGUACAAAAUCGGAUACUGAGAAAGAGGAA
rnacentral:sRNA from 12 species